UCUUUUCAUGGGAUUGUUCUAAUUGGAGUUGGAUGUAAGGGUUUUGAUGUCUCACCUCAACUUGUUUGGUAUUUUUAAAUGCUCCUCGGCCCUAGUUGAGCUGGAACCAUGGUGACCCAAGCCAGCUUAAAAAGAGACAGUUCUGCCAAACAGUCAUCCAUAGGUAGUCCACAUUCCCUGAGUGCUCCAGUAGCUUCUGGGUCAACAUGCAAUUGGUGGAAAAUGAUGUGGAUCUCUUGGCUAAGGAAAAAUGGUAAAAUGCAGAUUGCAGAACAUGCUCACCUUAUAGCUGGCUUGAAGUCUGUGUUUGAAAGCCCUGGCCUUCACAACCCAAACUGAAACUCCAGUUGGAACCAAGAAAGCACAGUGGAUAUGGACAGUGGUACAAGUAAGCCUGGCUGGAGUCACUGGCUUUGGGUACCUGAUGGUGACACCACAUGUUCCAGAAUGGUUGUCUGUUAAAUGUUUACUAGAGUUGGGUCUGGAGCAUAGAGUGAAGGGAAGGAAUAUAAUGGAAGGUUGUAGAGUAUGACAGCUAAGACUUGGAAUCAGGCCGGGUGCGGUGGUUCACACCUGUAAUCCCAGCACUUUGGGAGACCGAGGUGGGUGAAUCAUGAGGUCAGAAGUUUGAGACCAGCCUGGCUAACACAGUGAAACCCUGUCUGUACUAAAAAUACAAAAAUUUAGCUGGGUGUAGUGGCAGGUGCCUGUAAUCCCAGCUACUUGGGAGGCUGAGUCAGGAGAAUUGCUUGAACCCAGGA
rnacentral:lncRNA from 1 species